rnacentral:rRNA from 1 species
GCAAUGAUGACUCAGUGGCGGACGGGUGAGUAACACGUAAGAAUUUACCUUUAGGAGGGGGAUAACAACUGGAAACGGUUGCUAAUACCCCAUAUGCUUUCGAGUGAAAUGGAUUUCCGCCUAAAGAGAAGCUUGCGGCUGAUUAGCUUGUUGGUGAGGUAAUGGCUCACCAAGGCGACGAUCAGUAUCUGGUUUGAGAGGACGAUCAGACACACUGGAACUGAGACACGGUCCAGACUCCUACGGGAGGCAGCAGUGGGGAAUUUUCCGCAAUGGGCGAAAGCCUGACGGAGCAAUACCGCGUGAAGGAUGACGGCCUAUGGGUUGUAAACUUCUUUUUUCAGGGAGGAAUCAAUGACGUGUACCUGAAGAAUAAGCAUCGGCUAACUCCGUGCCAGCAGCCGCGGUAAGACGGAGGACGCAAGUGUUAUCCGGAAUCACUGGGCGUAAAGCGUCUGUAGGUGGUUUAAUAAGUCAACUGUUAAAUCUUGAGGCUCAACCUCAAAAUCGCAGUCGAAACUAUUAGACUAGAGUAUAGUAGGGGUAAAGGGAAUUUCCAGUGGAGCGGUGAAAUGCGUAGAUAUUGGAAGGAACACCGAUGGCGAAGGCACUUUACUGGGCUAUUACUAACACUCAGAGACGAAAGCUAG